GUGUCUUAUGGGAGUGUGCUGCGGAUGAGAGGAAUGUAGCCAUCCCAGCAUAAAUCAUCACCACUUCUGGAAAGGCAAUUUAAAAUGCUUACAGCUAAAAAUUUCUGCACUGCAAAUGAAACAAUCAACCAAGAAAAAAGGUAACCGAGACUUCUGGUUUCUGGUUCUACAUAUAAGAAGCUUGGAAGUCAUCAUGACAUCUUAACAAGUCCUGGCAGUAUACUCAGAGCUACAUAAGCAAAGACAUGUUUGCUGACUAAAAGGCUUACUAUUGAACAAAAGACAACUUUCUGAGUACAAUGGAACAUGCGUUGGGUAACAAAGGAUUUCACCACGGUGCUUCAACUAUUAUUUACUUCCUGGACCUUUGUUCAUGGGAUAUCUAUAAGACAUCUUCCAGAAAAUAUCUUAUAAAAUACAGGUUUGAGAAAAAUGAUUUAUUGGAAAAAGCACUGGGCUUUUCAUAUUCCAGUCCUGCUACUGAGGUGGUGACUCGGGAGAUGAAAUGAACAUUUUAAAAUCUACUUGAUGAAAGAAUUUGCACAUAGAGGUUUCUUUCUGUUUGGGGAAAUUGAGAAACAACAAUAGAAGACUGUUUUCCAGUAGCUAGCAUCCAGGAGAUAUGCCCGAAUUAGUAAAAUGAUUUUAAAUGCUAUUACUUCAGCUAUGCCAUAAAGAAUCUUCAGCUUCUGACUCCCAGGCUGAGCUCUUUUCAUUGUCCCCACAAAGCACCAGCCAGUGGACUACUGGUCACUCCUCCUGGCCUGCCGCAGCCUCUGUCCCAUAACAGGGAGCAAACAGCUGUGGUGGCUCAGAGAAUCCGCCAGGUUGUAGCAAUUUAAUCCAGUGCUCUCAUGAGGAUCUGCUGCGAGCAUCUCAUGCAGGGGCUCCGAGCUGCCAGCUUUCCCUCCGAGCUGCCUUCAGCGUCCUGUCCUCGCCCUCACAGCCUAGGAGGAAGAUCUCCUAGGCUCAUCUUAUAUGUUCUCUGAAGCAGCCGUAGAACCAGUCAUUUCUUUAUGGAGCCCUGGAAUCAUUUUUAAUGGAGAAUAGUACUUAAAAUUUACCAGCAUAAGCUUCAUCAAACAGAAGAAAUUUAUGCACCAAAGAAUCUGAAUGUUAUCCAACAAAUAUUUUUUUGAGUUAUGUGCCAGCCAAGAGGUACUCAAUUUUUGGACCUACAAAAUGACUAUACACUCUCCCUUCUCUACUCGAUUUCAUAGUUUAGUGAAGGAUUUGGAUAUGAAAAUAGAUCAUUUAUAAUAUGAUUCUAUGUUGCUGGUAGAGGUAUCUACAGAGUGCUAGUGGAGAGCGAAGAGGAAACAGAAGGAAAGAAUGUAAAAAAUUUGAACUGAAUUUUCAAAGCUGAAUAGUAGUCUGGUCUACAAAAUGGGGUUGGGAUGAGUGGGAGGACAUUUCAAAGGGUGAGAACACAUGUGAAAAGGCAGAGUGAGCAAGAGCAUGCUGGCCCCCAGCCUGACUUAAUUCAAAUAUUCACUACACAGAAAAAUAUUACUAUUUUUGUUUGUUUCUUUGUUUGUUGUUGUUUAAUUCCUAAACUAUACAACUGAGCCAUAGAAUGUUUUCCUGAGUUAUUCUGAAACCUGGAAGGCAUUGCCUUUUUAUAAUUCUUUUUUUCUUCUCUACUGCUGUUACUAACUACACUCUCUCAUUUCAUAUCAAUUUUCUAUUUAUGUUUCCUGCUCCAUUUUCUCUUCCUUUCCUUAAGCAUAAACAACUUCUUAAUAUUAUGAUUUAUUUUUAAUUAGUUCUUCUAUUUCUCUCAUAAAAAUCCUUUGCCUGAGUCUUGCUAAUUUCUCAUCUAAUAUCGCAAAAUCUCUGUGGGCUUAUCCAUUUAAAAAAAAUUAUAAUCUUACCAGAAUGUGCUUCCUUAUGUGCAGUGUUUUAUUUAUCUAUUUCUGUUUAUACUUCAGUUUGUCUACUUCAUCUAUUCACCUUGGGCUCGAAGAAGAGACUAAUCUCUAUGCCAAAUUGUUCAUUUUCUAUAGCUUGGCUUUUGUCUAAAUUAAUUUCUUUUUCUGUCACUUGUGUAGAAUAAAACUGCACCUAUGAUUUAGUUUUAU
ensembl:lncRNA